rnacentral:tRNA from 1 species
GCGCGGUAGUUCAGUUGGUUAGAACGCCGGCCUGUCACGCCGGAGGUCGAGGGUUCAAGUCCCUUCCG